CUCCCUCAUACAGACUCCGCAAGCCAAGAGGCCGUGGAGGCAAAUGCAGACAGCCAGCACACCUCGAACAGCCACCUUAACUGCGGGUGUGUUAGUAGAUUCCUGUUGUACAUAUGCUCAUAAUAAACUUCAGUAAACUUGAACUUGAUAAUAAACUUGAA
rnacentral:lncRNA from 1 species